rnacentral:rRNA from 1 species
UACGGGGGGGGCAAGCGUUGUUCGGAAUUACUGGGCGUAAAGGGCUUGUAGGUGGCCAACUAAGUCAGACGUGAAAUCCCUCGGCUUAACCGGGGAACUGCGUCUGAUACUGGAUGGCUUGAGUGUGGGAGAGGGAUGCGGAAUUCCAGGUGUAGCGGUGAAAUGCGUAGAUAUCAGGAGGAACACCGAUGGCGAAGGCAGGUCUCUGGGCCACUACUGACGCUGAGAAGCGAAAGCAUGGGGAGCGAACAGG